rnacentral:rRNA from 1 species
AGUAAAAGUCGUAACAAGGUUUCNGUAGGUGAACNUGCGGAAGGAUCAUUA